rnacentral:rRNA from 1 species
ACAGAGAGUGCAAACGUUGUUCGGAAUCACUGGGCUUAAAGCGCGCGUAGGCGGCAUUGUAAGUGUCGGGUGAAAUCCCACGGCUCACCCGUGGAAUUGCCCGGCAGACUGCAGUGCUAGAGUGUGGUAGGGGAGAGCGGAACUCAUGGUGGAGCGGUGAAAUGCGUAGAUAUCAUGAGGAACACCGGUGGCGAAGGCGGCUCUCUGGUCCAUAACUGACGCUGAGGUGCGAAAGCUAGGGUAGCGAACGGG